rnacentral:lncRNA from 1 species
GCGGAGAGCUGGGAGUCUGUCUCUCUCUAUGUCCUGACCAGUCCCAUGAGCAGUGGACGCAGUAUAUGGAGUUGGAGUUCAGCGGCAAAGAGCAUCAAGGAAGCAUUACCACAUCACUCACAGUUCAGCUCUCCGACGUUGCCCUGACCUCCUGAACCUUGACUUUACCUGACCUCUCUUUAGACUCUCGGUUUAACCAGCUCAGCGUCUCUCAGUAUCAGAGCACUAUGGAAUCCCAAUGAGCUCUGAUGACACAGGAGUAGAAUUGUACAGGACGUAUUCAGACAAACAUCCCUACGCCAUUCCUAAUUCUCAGUUCCUCCUCUUCGGCACGUCGGACAGAGGAUGUGGAGAGGAGCGAGGGGUGAGGAAUGUGAGAAGAGAGGAGGAGUGGGAACGAGGGGGCACUUUGAGCUUCAUCAGAAGUUGAGCUGGAAGAGGAAGCCGCCAAUGUGGGGAAAUAAACAGAGUCUGAAGUGGCUUAACCAGCCUUCAGCGUGGGAACCCCAUAUAACUGAUGGCCGAGUGUGGAGGAUAGCCGUGUUCUGGUUCUGAAUGAUACCUUUGGGCUAAAGCGGGAAACCGUGGACAUAUCUCUCCAUCUGCUUCCCUGUGACAUCAAAGGAAAGCCUUGGAUUCUACGGCCUAUAUAUAAAACCUGCAGGAAGACAUGUGUUAUUCUGGCUCUCUUCCUGUAACCUAAGGCUGAUCUUGAGCGCUCUUUUUCUCAUUCUCUCUCACUUUGUGUUGCUUUAUUCUCGCCGGUCUGUGCUGAAGUUGACCCUCUGAUGACUAAAUGCAGUCAUUUUUGUGGUCCUGUGGGCCUUUCCUGUUAUUUAGACAUGGACAGGACAUCUAGAGAUUAAAGAGAAAGCUCACCUAAAAAUGAAAACUGUGUCAUCAUUUAUUUAGCA